rnacentral:misc_RNA from 1 species
CAACCCCUCCAGCGUGCUGGGUCUUGGGCCUCGCCUCCGGGCGGGCCUUAAAAUCAGUGGCGGCCCUAUCAGGCCCUGAGCGUAGUAACUUCUCUCGCUACAGGGCCGCGGUAGGCGCUAGCCAGCAACCCCCCCUUCUUUCUAAU